GCCGCGCCAUGUGGCUAUAAGGACAGAGCUUAGCCCAGAAGCCAUUUUAGAGAGCUGCAGAUCCAGCAUGGUGGACGUGUAUGUGGUGUGCAGAGGGAGGAGGUGGAAAAUGUUCUUUUCUGUCCAUCUGUGUGGAUCGUGAUGGCGGUGGCAAAUGUUAUUUUCUGUCCAUCUGUGUGGAUCGUGAUGGCGGAUCUGUAGUGCUUCAGGUGACACAAGACUGAAGUUGACGUUAACAUGUAUUGGAAUCGGCAUCUCUUGCAGCAGAAAAAUCUAGCCAGAUGGAACACUGUCCAGCUAUUAAAUCUGCUGCUACCCUGGGAGACGAAAUGUUAGUUUAUGGAGCACUGUCCAGCUAUUAAAUCUGCUGCUAUCCUGGGAGACAACAUUUUAGUUUGUGCCCCUUUAGAUCUCGUCCAUAUGGAUCCUUGGCCAUGAUGCAGGAUCAGGAUUUGUAAUUUUGUGAUAUGAGGAAAGUAUCCAAAGUACUAAACAGAUCACUGCCAAGGCAGAAGAUGGCCCAAACAUGUCUUGGAGCUGGCACCUCGCAACACUGAACAGCUAUCAAUGCAGAUUUCUUUAAAUCGGGAUUGGUCUUCGUCUUCUAAGAGGUAAAGGAUGCACGUUUUACCAGACUGAAGUUGACGUUAACAUGCAUUGGAAUCAGCAUCUCUUGCAGCAGAAAAAUCUAGCCAGAUGGAACGCUGUCCAGCUAUUAAAUCUGCUGCUAUCCUGGGAGACGAAAUGUUAGUUUAUGGAACGCUGUCCAGCUAUUAAAUCAGCUGCUACCCUAGGAGAUGAAAUGUUAGUUUAAUGAAUGGACAUUUCAAAAAGGUGGAAACUGGUUCAGCUGCAGUGUCAAGAUAAAAAUAAACAUUUUGAACAA